rnacentral:rRNA from 1 species
UGGGGGAUAUUGCACAAUGGAGGAAACUCUGAUGCAGCGACGCCGCGUGAGGGAAGAAGGUCUUCGGAUUGUAAACCUUUGUCUUCAGGGACGAUAAUGACGGUACCUGAGGAGGAAGCCACGGCUAACUACGUGCCAGCAGCCGCGGUAAUACGUAGGUGGCAAGCGUUAUCCGGAAUUACUGGGUGUAAAGGGAGCGUAGGCGGGCAGACAAGUCAGAUGUGAAAUACCGGGGCUCAACUCCGGGGCUGCAUUUGAAACUGUAUGUCUUGAGUGUAGUAGAGGUAAGCGGAAUUCCUAGUGUAGCGGUGAAAUGCGUAGAUAUUAGGAGGAACACCAGUGGCGAAGGCGGCUUACUGGGCUAUUACUGACGCUGAGGCUCGAAAGUAUGGGUAGCAAACAGG